rnacentral:rRNA from 1 species
UACGUAGGCAGCAAGCGUUGUUCGGAAUUACUGGGCGUAAAGAGUGUGUAGGCGGUGCUCUAAGUUCGGUGUGAAAUCUCCCGGUUUAACUGGGAGGGUGCGCCGGAAACUGGAGUGCUCGAGCGUGGGAGAGGAAAGCGGAAUUCCUGGUGUAGCGGUGAAAUGCGUAGAUAUCAGGAGGAACACCUGCGGUGUAGACGGCUUUCUGGACCAUUGCUGACGCUGAGACACGAAAGCGUGGGUAGCAAACAGG